UACGUAGGGGGCAAGCGUUGUCCGGAUUUAUUGGGCGUAAAGCGUGCGUAGGCGGCUGCGCAAGUCGGGUGUGAAACCCCGGGGCUCAACCCCGGAACUGCAUCCGAUACUGCGUGGCUAGAGGUAGGUAGGGGAGAUCGGAAUUCCUGGUGUAGCGGUGAAAUGCGCAGAUAUCAGGAGGAACACCGGUGGCGAAGGCGGGUCUCUGGGCCGAUACUGACGCUGAGGAGCGAAAGCGUGGGGAGCAAACAGG
rnacentral:rRNA from 1 species